AGGAGUGUAGCUCAACUGGUCAGAGCGCCGGUCUCCAAAACCGGAGGUUGCGGGUUCGAGUCCCUCCACUCCUCCCA
rnacentral:tRNA from 1 species